GGGGCGGCGGGGGGGUGUGUGCCUGUCGACAUUUUUUGAUGUCUUCAGCGGGAGGAAGAGAAAACCUGGCGGGGAGGCGGCAGGGCGGGCUGGGGAGCGGAGGAGACGGCCGACGGACCAAUCAAUCAACAGCAAACAAUCAGUACGCAAUCCACAGGAAAACACGGCCGACACGACAGAACAAAGGGGACCGGAGGGGGUCCCGGAGGGGGUCCCGGAGGGGGUCCCGGAGGGGGUCCCGGCGGGGGUCCCGCGGCGCCAGGGCCAUCGACCACAGCCUUUUGUUGAGGAGCUCCGCUCCGGGGCGGCGCUCCGCUCCGGGUUUUAUUUUUUAACACUGUGUUCCAGUUUCUUGAUUUCUGUUGCACUGGUCGGCUUGGGAAUAACACAAUCAUAUGUUUCUAAUGUUUAUCCUUUGUGUUUGUUCAUGGGUCUCGUAUGAGCGCAAUUGUUUUAUCAAAACUGAGGCGGAUAAUGUGUAAAAAAAAAAGGAAAGAAUAAGAUGAGUUUGUGGGUUUAUGUAUCUAUAUUUACAGCAUAGGGUUGGAUGGGUGUACACGCAUAUGUGCGUGCGUGUGUGUGAGUGUGUGCGUGCAUGUGCGUGCAUGUGCGUGAGGGUGUGCGUGUGCGGGUGUGUGCAUGAGCAUGUCCCCCCGAGGGAGCGAGUCCACGAAACCCAAAUGAACGAUCAUAACCGGUGUUGAAUAGCUGACCAGUAACAGGGCAGUAACAGACCAGUAACAGGCCAGUCACAGACCAGUAACAGGGCAGUCACAGACCAGUAACAGGGCAGUCACAGACCAGUAACCGGCCAGUCACAGACCAGUAACCGGCCAGUCACAGACCAGUAACCGGCCAGUCACAGACCAGUAACCGGCCAGUCACAGACCAGUAACAGGCCAGUCACAGACCAGUAACAGGGCAGUAACAGACCAGUAACAGGCCAGUCACUAACCAGUAACCGGCCAAUAACAGACCAGUAACCGGCCAGUCACAGACCAGUUACCGGCCAGUCCCAGACCAGUAACCGGCCAAUAACAGACCAGUUACCGGCCAGUCAUAGACCAGUAACCGGCCAGUCACAGACCAGUAACCGGCCAGUCACAGACCAGUAACCGGCCAGUCACAGACCAGUAACCCGCCAGUCACAGACCAGUAACCGGCCAGUCACAGACCAGUUACUGGCCAGUCACAGACCAGUAACCGGCCAGUCACAGACCAGUAACCGGCCUCUAUUCUCGACUGAUCCCCAUUCAUUCAGAUUCAGAGUGAACGGUCGAUUGCAGAGUGGGUGGAUUAAGGUUCUCUCUCGUUUUAGUUGUCAUAUUUCUACUAUGUACUGGUCAAGCGUGUGACUGUAUACUGUUAACAAGAACCAAUAUCCAGGUUCCAGCCUUCAAGGGAAAUUUGACACAGAAUUGUCACCAUUGUUUUUGGGGAUGAUCUGAUUUUCUUCUGUUAAAAUGUUUCUCUGUUAGCACUAGCCAUUAGCUUUUGUUCUUUUUUAUCGUCAGAUAGCUCAGUGGUUGAUUGUCUGGUCGACGUGGUUCUACAUCUUGAGCCAAUGCUUUUUACUUUUAUUAUGUGGAGUCUUUUUUUCCUGAAGUUCAAACUAAUCGAAAUGUCAUUGGUUCAGAAUGAGUUUUCAUCGUCAUGUAAGAAACAACAGGGCCUUUAUUUUGAAAAGCAACACAAUCAGAACUCUGACAGUGGCCAUUUUGCAUCCGGCGCCCCUCUGUCUGCGGUGGAGCGCUGGGGGGAACUACUAACCGCCACGCCCGUAUCUGGGGCUUCAUAUCUGUCUGGUUGAUCAACCGUUUUCAAUGAGAGUUUUCACAAGAAUGAUUUAACUGACACGGACUGCACCGAGCCGAGCCGCCAACGCCACCGGAUCCAUCGCCACCGCCGCCAGAAUGUAAUCUGAUGAGUGGGUGGAGCCUCCUCUGGUUCCCCCGACUAACGUCUAAUCCUUCUUUCAGUGACUGCAUGUUAGAGCUGCAGUUAAAGUUCGGCCUCGUUUGUUUAUGCAGGGACUUUAGCCCCUACCGCUAGUGUUAGCGUUAGCGAACCCCCUCCUCUCUCCCCUCCCCCCCUCCGUAGCAUGUCCCUGGAGGAGAGGUUCCUCCUGACACAUCACAUCGCUCAUCAAGUGAAGGGCUUACAACGAUCAGGCGGGCAGAACCGUGCGUACGUCCAGAUCCACGUUGGCUCAGCACACAGGGUACCUUACUGUUACACUGACAGGAACACAUGAAUCUCAUUGGCCGUCACCACCAGGAAGUGCUCCUCCUAUUGGUGGAUGAGGGUACCGCGGCGACCCGCCCCUUCGGCCACUAGCGGCUCCGACAGAUCGUCAUGGAAACUAAAGGGCUUACUUACUUUUUACUGCGGACUCUAGAGGUUCGUUUUGGGGGGAGGAGCUACAGGCGGGCAAUCAGGACUUUGAGUACUUACAGAUGUCGCCGAUGUUUCCCGCUCUCAUGUUGUUCUGUCGUCCUCUUCGUUCUCCAUCCGUCAGUCCUUGUCGACUCGCGCUGCGUUGAUCCCACUCCGACCCUUAGAGUCUCCCAGCUGGGCUGACUGAUGUUUGGACCGCCCAAACCGUGGCCCUGCCACCUCAGCCGCCUGCUGGGAGACGGAUAAUCGCAGACCCCCCAGAGGACCUCCUGGUUACUGAGGCAUUAGGACCAGUGAAGUUCACACCUGAACACCUGACACUAGCAUGAGGAGAAGGUUUAGGAAGGACGCCCUCUGAGGAGAGGGCUAGGGCUGUGUGUGUGUGUGUGUGUGUGUGUGUGUGUGUGUGUGUGUGUGUGUGUGUGUGUGUGUGUGUG
ensembl:lncRNA